rnacentral:rRNA from 1 species
GAUGAAGCCGAAGCUUGCUUUGGUGGAUUAGUGGCGAACGGGUGAGUAACACGUGAGUAACCUGCCCCUGACUCUGGGAUAAGCCUGGGAAACUGGGUCUAAUACCGGAUAUGACUGCGGAACGCAUGUUCUGUGGUGGAAAGAUUUAUCGGUUGGGGAUGGACUCGCGGCCUAUCAGCUUGUUGGUGAGGUAAUGGCUCACCAAGGCGACGACGGGUAGCCGGCCUGAGAGGGUGACCGGCCACACUGGGACUGAGACACGGCCCAGACUCCUACGGGAGGCAGCAGUGGGGAAUAUUGCACAAUGGGCGAAAGCCUGAUGCAGCGACGCCGCGUGAGGGAUGACGGCCUUCGGGUUGUAAACCUCUUUCAGUAGGGAAGAAGCGAGAGUGACGGUACCUGCAGAAGAAGCGCCGGCUAACUACGUGCCAGCAGCCGCGGUAAUACGUAGGGCGCAAGCGUUAUCCGGAUUUAUUGGGCGUAAAGAGCUCGUAGGCGGUUUGUCGCGUCUGCCGUGAAAGUCCGAGGCUCAACCUCGGAUCUGCGGUGGGUACGGGCAGACUAGAGUGAUGUAGGGGAGACUGGAAUUCCUGGUGUAGCGGUGAAAUGCGCAGAUAUCAGGAGGAACACCGAUGGCGAAGGCAGGUCUCUGGGCAUUUACUGACGCUGAGGAGCGAAAGCAUGGGGAGCGAACAGGAUUAGAUACCCUGGUAGUCCAUGCCGUAAACGUUGGGCACUAGGUGUGGGGGACAUUCCACGUUUUCCGCGCCGUAGCUAACGCAUUAAGUGCCCCGCCUGGGGAGUACGGCCGCAAGGCUAAAACUCAAAGGAAUUGACGGGGGCCCGCACAAGCGGCGGAGCAUGCGGAUUAAUUCGAUGCAACGCGAAGAACCUUACCAAGGCUUGACAUGUUCCAGACCGGGCUAGAGAUAGUCCUUCCCUUCGGGGCUGGUUCACAGGUGGUGCAUGGUUGUCGUCAGCUCGUGUCGUGAGAUGUUGGGUUAAGUCCCGCAACGAGCGCAACCCUCGUUCCAUGUUGCCAGCACGUAGUGGUGGGGACUCAUGGGAGACUGCCGGGGUCAACUCGGAGGAAGGUGGGGAUGACGUCAAAUCAUCAUGCCCCUUAUGUCUUGGGCUUCACGCAUGCUACAAUGGCCGGUACAAUGGGUUGCGAUACUGUGAGGUGGAGCUAAUCCCUAAAAGCCGGUCUCAGUUCGGAUUGGGGUCUGCAACUCGACCCCAUGAAGUCGGAGUUCGCUAGUAAUCGCAGAUCAG